UCCACAGCCUACAGUCCACAAU
rnacentral:miRNA from 1 species